rnacentral:rRNA from 1 species
GUGGGGAAUAUUGGACAAUGGGCGCAAGCCUGAUCCAGCAAUGCCGCGUGGGUGAAGAAGGCCUUCGGGUUGUAAAGCCCUUUUGUACGGAAAGAAAUCCUGGUGGUUAAUACCCGCCGGGGAUGACGGUACCGUAAGAAUAAGCACCGGCUAACUUCGUGCCAGCAGCCGCGGUAAUACGAAGGGUGCAAGCGUUAAUCGGAAUUACUGGGCGUAAAGCGUGCGUAGGUGGUUUCUUAAGUCUGUCGUGAAAGCCCUGGGCUCAACCUGGGAAUGGCGAUGGAUACUGGGAGGCUAGAGUGCGGUAGAGGAUGGCGGAAUUCCCGGUGUAGCGGUGAAAUGCGUAGAGAUCGGGAGGAACAUCUGUGGCGAAGGCGGCCAUCUGGACCAGCACUGACACUGAGGCACGAAAGCGUGGGGAGCAAACAGGAUUAGAAACCCUUGUAGUCC